UUGUAUGAAUGAUCUUUUGACCUACGAUGGUACGGUUGCUCGCAAUAUGAUUGCUGCAGUUUAACUGAUACAUAAAUAUGAUCUCGAUGAGUCCUUAUAGAGGAUGUUGGUGAUAGUUGGUCCAUUAUAGAAGUAGGGUGCACAUCUAGAUGAAAUUUAUCGAUCUUGAUAAAAAAGAUAGUUCUAUGAGAUUUGAGAGGCUAAGUUCGAAAGUCUAUAGCCACAGCAGUAUGAUUAAUAAAAAAAAAUUCAUGAGGAUCACAAUUGAAUUUAAGCUAAUCAAAUCUAUCAUAUGAUUAAUGACG
rnacentral:lncRNA from 1 species